rnacentral:rRNA from 1 species
CUGAACAAAUUUGCUAAGGCCCUGAGACUUCGAUGGUUAUGGUUUGAGUGGAAAGAUAAGAGCAAACCAUGGAUUGGCAUGGGAGUGCCGUGUACGGAAGAUGACCACCAUUUCUUUGCGGCAGCCACCACGGUCACCGUGGGAAAUGGAAGGACAACGAGGUUCUGGACUUCAUCUUGGCUAGGAGGAUUGUGCCCUCGUGACAUCGCUCCCUAUCUCUAC